rnacentral:rRNA from 1 species
CGCCAGGAUAUUACGAGCUUUAGCUUAAAACCCAAAGGACUUGACGGUGUCCCAUCCAUCUAGAGGAGCCUGUUCCAUCAUCGAUAAUCCCCGCUACACCUAACCACCCCUUGCCAAUCAGUCUGUAUACCUCCGUCGUAAACUUACCAUGUGAGUGCUCACAGUAAGUUUAAUGGCCACCAUCACCAAUACGUCAGGUCAAGGUGCAGCUCAUGGGGCGGCAGGCAAUGGGCUACAAUUUCUACACUAGAACAAACGAAACGCUGCAUGAAAUACAGCCACGAAGGCGGAUUUAGUAGUAAAAAGAAAAUAGCGUGUUCUUUUUAACUAGGCCCUGGGACGUGU